rfam:Talaromyces stipitatus ATCC 10500 scf_1105507295515 genomic scaffold, whole genome shotgun sequence.
GGGCGUAUAGAUCAGCGGUAGAUCGCGAGAUUGCAGUAAUAUCAAUUGUUUUAAACUGCAAAUACCUUGAGGUCCAUGGUUCGAAUCCGUGUGCGCCCU